rnacentral:misc_RNA from 1 species
UCGAAUAAAACUUGAACAGGCUGUUGCUGGCUCCCUCGGAUGCAUGUGCACGCUUGUCAUUUUUAUCUCAUUUCUCCUCUGUGCACCAACUGUAGGCCUGGAGUUUGGUUUGAAAUCCUUUCAGGUCUAUGUUUUUACAAUCUCUCAAUGUGUUUGGAAUGUCGAGUUGCAUAAUAUAUACAUA